rnacentral:rRNA from 1 species
AAUAGAUACCCCGGUAGUCCACGCCGUAAACGGUGGGCACUAGGUGUGGGCGACAUUCCACGUCGUCCGUGCCGCAGCUAACGCAUUAAGUGCCCCGCCUGGGGAGUACGGCCGCAAGGCUAAAACUCAAGGGAAUUGACGGGGGCCCGCACAAGCGGCGGAGCAUGUGGCUUAAUUCGACGCAACGCGAAGAACCUUACCAAGGCUUGACAUACACCGGAAACGUCCAGAGAUGGGCGCCCCCUUGUGGUCGGUGUACAGGUGGUGCAUGGCUGUCGUCAGCUCGUGUCGUGAGAUGUUGGGUUAAGUCCCGCAACGAGCGCAACCCUUGUCCCGUGUUGCCAGCAGGCCCUUGUGGUGCUGGGGACUCACGGGAGACCGCCGGGGUCAACGUCGGAGGAAGGUGGGGACGACGUCAAGUCAUCAUGCCCUUAUGUCUUGGGCUGCACACGUGCUACAAUGGCCGGUACAAUGAGCUGCGAUACCGCGAGGUGGAGCGAAUCUCAAAAAGCCGGUCUCAGUUCGGAUUGGGGU